rnacentral:rRNA from 1 species
AAACUACCAAGGAUUCCUUAGUAACAGCGAGCGAACAGGGAAUAGCCCAAAACUGAAUCCCCUAACUUUGUUAGUGGGAAAUGUAGUUUUAGGGUAAGUUUAUACUUUAGUAUACCGGUCUGAAGUUCGCACGAUUGCGGCUAAUUCUCAAAGAGGGUGUAAAGCCUGUGCGGUUUGGUAUGACUAGAGUCUAAAUUUACUCGAGAGUCGAAUUGUUCGGUAUUGCAAUUCAAAGUGGGUGGUAAACUCCAUCCAAGGCUAAAUAUAACACUAGACCGAUAGUUAACAAGUACCGUGAGGGAAAGUUGAAAAGAACUUUGAAGAGAGAGUUAAUAGUACGUGAAAUCACUCAGAGGUAAACGGGUAAAGCUGAAAUUAACUUAAAGGUUGAUAUCUUUUAAUUUAGUAUGCAGUUUAAAAAUGAUUUGUUGUCGAACAUUUUUAGAUUGUGUGUCUGAGUUAGUUGAUUAUUCCUUUUAGUUUAAACCAUGAUCGACGAUAUGGUCGUUCGUAGUGGAAGAAGGUAGGGAUUGGGUCACUUGAUUCGAUCGUGUUAUAGCUUCCAUAUCAGAACAGACUGUGUUGUUGUGCAGUUGCGAUGCAAGCCGUAUGGCGCACAAAUUUUGUUGCUAUUGGUGAGUGCUUGGCUUACUUGUUUUAGAGUUUGCUAGGUGCUUUGCUGAUUGAUAGCAAAAUAUAUUGUGUAUUGCAUCUAUAAUCUAUGGUUUAAUGUAAGCCAUUUACCUGUCCCGUCUUGAAACACGGACCAAGGAGUCUAACGUAUUUGCAAGUCAUUGAGCUUUACGAAACUCAAAGGCGUAGUGAAAGUAAAGAUCUGUGUUUUUACAGAUUUAGGCAGGAUUGUUGCACUUUCGAGUGUGAUACGCACUGCCGACUCAUUAGAUAUUUCUAGUGAAGUUAGAGCAAAUAUGUUGUAACCCGAAAGAUGGUGA